UAAGGGAGGCAGCAGUGGGGAAUAUUGCACAAUGGGGGAAACCCUGAUGCAGCGACGCAGCGUGCGGGAUGACGGCCUUCGGGUUGUAAACCGCUUUCAGCAGGGAAGAAGCGCAAGUGACGGUACCUGCAGAAGAAGUACCGGCUAACUACGUGCCAGCAGCCGCGGUAAUACGUAGGGCACGAGCGUUGUCCGGAAUUAUUGGGCGUAAAGAGCUCGUAGGUGGUUGGUCACGUCUGCUGUGGAAACGCAACGCUUAACGUUGCGCGUGCAGUGGGUACGGGCUGACUAGAGUGCAGUAGGGGAGUCUGGAAUUCCUGGUGUAGCGGUGAAAUGCGCAGAUAUCAGGAGGAACACCGGUGGCGAAGGCGGGACUCUGGGCUGUAACUGACACUGAGGAGCGAAAGCAUGGGGAGCGAACAGGAUUAGAUACCCUGGUAGUCCAUGCCGUAAACGUUGGGCACUAGGUGUGGGGGGCAUUCCACGUUCUCCGCGCCGUAGCUAACGCAUUAAGUGCCCCGCCUGGGGAGUACGGUCGCAAGGCUAAAACUCAAAGGAAUUGACGGAAGGGC
rnacentral:rRNA from 1 species